rnacentral:rRNA from 1 species
UACGUAGGGGGCAGGCGUUGUCCGGAUUUAUUGGGCGUAAAGCGCUCGCAGGUGGUUCAUUGCGUCGUGCGUGAAAGACCCCGGCUCAACUGGGGAGGGUCGUGCGAAACGGGUGAACUAGAGGCCAGUAGGGGGAUGCGGAAUUCCGGGUGUAGUGGUGGAAUGCGUAGAGAUCCGGAGGAACACCAGCGGCGAAGGCGGCAUCCUGGACUGGUCCUGACACUCAGGAGCGAAAGCGUGGGGAGCGAUCCGG